GUCGAAAACUUGAAAAGACAGACUAAUAAAAGAAGGAAGAGGGAAGAAAAUCGAUCAAAUAUCACAGUUAUGGCCCAAAAAAUCUCUAUCAAGUUGUCUUUUUUGGCUGCAAUGAUCUUGUUUCUCACCGUGUUUGGUUCAGUGGCAGGCAAGCCAUUGGGCUCGAAAGCAAGCUCUUUCAUCCAUAUCACAUGCAAUACUUCAAAUGAUUGCAAGGACCCUCACAACCCUUACGGUUGUUUAUGCGACACUGGCUUGUGCUUCUGCGCAAGUCACAAGCCCUUCAACUUCAACACUCACAAGAUUACUAAUGAAAUUCUCUCGUAAGACAACAAGAAAAAAAGAUUUGGACUUGAAGAACUAAUAAAUUAGCCUUUACAAUUUCAUGCAUGUGACAGGUUUACAUGCCAGCCUUUUCUUUUGGAGUUUAAAGUUUGAAUCAAAUAAGAUUUGAGUAUUAUUGCAGUUUUAUCAUGUAUUAUUGGGAGUAAAUUACAAAAGCUACUCUUAUCUUGAAUGCAUUAAUUUCCAUGGUUAUGGUACAACUUGAGAAUUUAA